GGGGCUGACCUGGUUUCGACGGGAUCUGGUAGCUCUCAACUGCAUGUCGGACUGAGCACUUCCGUUACACGGCUCAACGCGAAUAAACGCAAACAAUACAAAUUACCGCCCAGCUUUAGCAGUAGCCUAAAGUCUUAACCACCCGAGAGGGUCGGGCUGCUUCACCUGCUGAUGCUAAAUAGGCAGGAUUUUGAAGUAUCAUCGAACAUUUAGCUAUAUUGCAGGUCUGUCUCAAUCUGUAACGAAUCCAAGAGGCUCGCUCUGUGUAGCUUUGCAAGUUGUGUGAAGCAGAGUUAAACCAAACAACUUCUCUAAGCAUGUAGAGGUUGGGAGUAGCCAGGUUUCGGACUGGAGUUCGAUUCUCCACAGCUCCACCA
rnacentral:tmRNA from 1 species